UGGUUCGUUACAACCGCUCCCAGCAGCUUUAGAUAACGACCCAAGUACCUGUUUUCAAACACAAAAAGAUGAUUACCAACCCUGGUUUCUUGUUGAUUUGAUGGAGACAUUUCUAAUUCGUUUUAUUGUGGUUUACAACGAGGGUGAAUAUCCUGAACGCCUCCAUGACGUUAAUUAUGAAGUCUACGAUUCGGAUCCAACAAUAAACAACUCUUCAGAAGCCAAUUGUUGUGCUUCAGUGGUUGAUUACAAUACAGGUAAAAACAUCAUCAGGUGUAAUGAUGGGGUCCGUGGUAGAUUUGUCAAGAUUUCUAUUGAAAAGUCAAAUUUAUUAACUCUUUGUGAAGUGGAAAUAUAUGGAAUCCCUGUGAAUGAAACGAGUGACACCUGUAAUCACAGAUAUGAAUGUAGAAAAUUACCAGGCGGCGUCAACAUUGCUUUAGAACAACCAACCAAACAGAGCUCAACAAUUUCGACGACAUACACGUCAAUAAAGGCCGUGGACGGGAUUAAGAGUGGCGAGCAUAGGGUGGUUCAUAGUUGUCAACACACCAGCGGUGGUGACAACAAUCCAUGGUGGCAAGUAGAUCUGGGUGAGAUGUAUGAUAUCACAAGUGUAACUAUAUCUAACAGAUAUGAUGAUAAAUCCAUUGUUGGGGAAAGGUUCUCUGAUGUGAGUGUAAUGGUGUAUGAUUCAGAUCCAUCUGUCGGUAAUCCAACUUCUACACUGUGUAAAUUUAUACCUGGAGUUUUUGGAUGUACCGUGAGAACUUUAGAAUGUGAUGAGAAAACAGUCGGCAGAUUU